rnacentral:lncRNA from 1 species
CGACACUUUGCUGUAUGCAUUGUAUUUUAUAAAGAGAACCAAAUUGUGUCAGUCAUGAGGUAGAGGGAUUAGAUUUUUUCUGCUUGGACCCUGACAGCAGAGCCUCUUAUGUGCACUUUACAAAUCAUUAUCUCAUUUAUUAAGUACCUACUAUGUGCUAAGUGAUUUACAGAUAUUAUCUCAUCGGAUCCUUACAACAACCCUGGCAAACAGAUGCUAUUCUUCUUCUCAUUUUAUAGUUGAGGAAACUCAUGAGGAAGCUUAAUGUAGCAUUCCAGGAGAAAAUGGAUGCAUACUUGACCUGUGGUGAUGGUUAUGUGAUGGAAAGGAAACAUCUAUGAGAAAGGUAGAGAAAUAAAUGAUUGGAUUUGGCAUUAGAGGACUAAACAUCUAGGUUCUAAAAUUCUAUCCAGUUCCAACAUUUUAGACCAUGACACAGAAAUGGUCUGGCGUGCUAUGGUGUUUGUAGCUUGUUAUCAUGAAAACCAUUAUAAGUUUUCAGAAGUGGAGAUCUUGUUCCUGGGUAUCCAGGAUAUCCACCCAGCAGAAUCCACAUGCAGAUUGAAGCAUACUAUUCUUCACUUUAUUUCCUCUAUGAAUUUUUCACUAGUGUAAGAAAUGUGUAUCUUAUUUCAUAACAUGAUGAAGAAGGAAAUAUAUAUUAUAUGAUAAUAUAUGUGUAACCUAUAUCAUAUCCCUUGCCUUCCUGGGCAAGCAGAAGGGAGAGAACAUGAAUUGAAAAAUGUCAAAUAAAUGAAUGUUUAAAUUGUAUUUACA